AAGGCACAUUGGUGUGACUGUGGAAUGAAAUGAAAUAAAAAGCAUAUUUUUGCAGUUAAGUUACAAUACGGCAACAGUGUUAACAGUUUAGUAGCAACAUUUCAAGCAUUUGACAUCUUCACUUGAACAGAACUCCGUGGUGACCAUGAAACUACUAUUCCUAGUGAUGUGCCUGAUUGGACUUUGUUCUUCCAUUCCUGUGUCUGAGGAACAUGAUCGAGAGGAGCGCUCAGCUAGCAAUGAG